rnacentral:rRNA from 1 species
CCUACGGGCGGCAGCAGUGGGGAAUAUUGCACAAUGGGCGCAAGCCUGAUGCAGCCAUGCCGCGUGUGUGAAGAAGGCCUUCGGGUUGUAAAGCACUUUCGGCGGGGAGGAAGGCGUUAAGGUUAAUAACCUUGUCGAUUGACGUUACCCGCAGAAGAAGCACCGGCUAACUCCGUGCCAGCAGCCGCGGUAAUACGGAGGGUGCAAGCGUUAAUCGGAAUUACUGGGCGUAAAGCGCACGCAGGCGGUCUGUCAAGUCGGAUGUGAAAUCCCCGGGCUCAACCUGGGAACUGCAUUCGAAACUGGCAGGCUAGAGUCUUGUAGAGGGGGGUAGAAUUCCAGGUGUAGCGGUGAAAUGCGUAGAGAUCUGGAGGAAUACCGGUGGCGAAGGCGGCCCCCUGGACAAAGACUGACGCUCAGGUGCGAAAGCGUGGGGAGCAAACAGGAUUAGAUACCCCAGUAGUC